rfam:Poecilia formosa, whole genome shotgun sequence.
CUGUGGUGCAUUGUAGUUGCAUUGCAUGAUCCUCAGUCUGAGUGCAAUGCCUCUGCAGUGCAGUACAG